UGUCGUCAGCUCGUGUCGUGAGAUGUUGGGUUAAGUCCCGUAACGAGCGCAACCCUUGUCCCUAGUUGCCAGCGGGUUAUGCCGGGAACUCUAGGGAGACUGCCGGUGACAAACCGGAGGAAGGUGGGGACGACGUCAAGUCAUCAUGGCCCUUACGAGUAGGGCUACACACGUGCUACAAUGGCCGGUACAGAGGGCAGCAAAGUCGCGAGGCGGAGCAAAUCCCUUAAAACCGGUCGUAGUCCGGAUUGCAGUCUGCAACUCGACUGCAUGAAGUCGGAAUCGCUAGUAAUCGCGGAUCAGAAUGCCGCGGUGAAUACGUUCCCGGG
rnacentral:rRNA from 2 species